rnacentral:rRNA from 1 species
UACGAAGGGUGCAAGCGUUACUCGGAAUUACUGGGCGUAAAGCGUGCGUAGGUGGUUUGUUAAGUCUGUUGUGAAAGCCCCGGGCUCAACCUGGGAAUGGCAAUGGAUACUGGCAGGCUAGAGUGCGGUAGAGGGUAGUGGAAUUCCCGGUGUAGCGGUGAAAUGCGUAGAGAUCGGGAGGAACACCAGUGGCGAAGGCGGCUACCUGGACCAGCACUGACGCUGAGGAGCGAAAGCGUGGGGAGCAAACAGG